UUAACUCAGAUUAGUAUGAAGUUGGAACGUUUGCCUACGUUUGCCGCUAGGGGCGCUGUUCGAACUGCAUACAAAUUUGAGUUA
rfam:Bombyx mori DNA, contig: Bm_scaf12_contig9849, strain: p50T/Dazao, build 2, whole genome shotgun sequence.